GACGAACGCUGGCGGCGUGCCUAAUACAUGCAAGUCGAGCGGUUCCUUCGGGAAUAGCGGCGGACGGGUGAGUAACACGUAGGUAACCUGCCUGUAAGACUGGGAUAACGACCGGAAACGGUAGCUAAUACCGGAUAAUCAAGAAAGUCGCAUGACUUUGUUGGGAAAGACGGAGCAAUCUGUCACUUAUGGAUGGGCCUGCGGCGCAUUAGCUAGUAGGUAGGGUAACGGCCUACCUAGGCGACGAUGCGUAGCCGACCUGAGAGGGUGAACGGCCACACUGGGACUGAGACACGGCCCAGACUCCUACGGGAGGCAGCAGUAGGGAAUCUUCCGCAAUGGACGAAAGUCUGACGGAGCAACGCCGCGUGAGUGAAGAAGGUUUUCGGAUCGUAAAGCUCUGUUGCCAGGGAAGAACGUUCUGUAGGGUAACUGCUACAGGAGUGACGGUACCUGAGAAGAAAGCCCCGGCUAACUACGUGCCAGCCGCCGCCGUAAAAC
rnacentral:rRNA from 1 species